AACAUAUUCUUUCACUAUUCCAAAUUACAAGAUGGACAAGGUGUUCUUUGAGUCCUCAAAGCUGGAUAGGGAGGGAAACCUAUCACUUUAUAAUAAUUCUACUCUGGUUUAUUAGCUACAUUCUUAAAAUUGCGGCCACUGUACCUGUAAUGGUGGGAAAAGAAUACAAUAGCGGGCUACUGGCAAUGCUUCCCGAAUGAAUGUUCAGUGAAAUUAUGUUGGCAAUUUGACCUUGGCUAUGGUUGGAAUAUUUACAGCACGGAAACUGGCAAACACUACAAACCAGAGAUUAAUUUAUUGUGUAAUUGAAUGUCUGGACUUAACACUAAGGUAGCAUAUAUUAAUAAUGAAUAUUAUUCCUAAACCUGUAUAAUGUAUGUGGCCAUUACAUUAUGUAUAGUGUAAAAUUGAGAAAAAGUUGAGAACAUAUUCUUUCACUCUUCCAAAUUAGAAGAUGGACAAGGUGUUCUUUGAGUCCUCAAAGCUGGAUAGGGAGGGAAACAGAGUGCAGUGACCAGACUACCCAUGCCCUGAACCAGGCAACCUGGCAUUGAAUCCCAGAUCCCUGUCUCUUGCUGGGAGAUCAUGAGUAGAGGACAGCCACCCUCUGCCUGUUUCCUCCCUAGACAUGGUCCAUUUGCUGCAAGAUUAACGCACCUGCAUCCUCCUACCCUCUUAUCACCUCACACUCCUCCACCUCCAGUACCCUCCAUUACCUUUCGGUUUCCUACUACAUCUAAACACCCUCAGGGACUUCCGGUUGUCCAGUGGUUAAGACUCUGGGCUUCCACUACAGGAGGCACAGGUUUGAUCCAUGGUUGGGAAACUAUGGGCCCACAUGCCACGUGGCAUGGCCAACACACCCCCAUAAACAGAAAACACACCCUCGGUCCCCUCCCUCAUUUCCAAGCUAAGGGAAUGGGACUCCUCAAAACCCCCUGACACCAUCUGUUGUCCUUGGACCAAGCCAUAAGAAGGACCGGGGGCUGCAGAGUCCAGAGACUUCUGCAUGGAUUCUCUCUGACCCCCUCUGGGGUUGUGACGUUGAGGAAGUUCCCUGUCAGCCCUUGUUCUCCAUUUCCUUAGUCCUGGAAUGGCAGUAUUAGCAAUUCCUUCCAUUGAUUAGAGGACAGGGGAGGGUACAUGUGCCAUGCAAGCCCCUGAGUGCCCAGGUGGUCCCCUAGGUGCCUCUUUUGGGAGGUGGGUAAGGAUCCUCCUGUCCUCUGUCUGUGUCUAUAGAAGUAGGUUCAGGUUUAACUGAAAUGAAUUUAACAGUGGUAAGGAAAAAAUUAUUCUGAUAUUUAUUAAAAUGGUAAGACAUUCUUUAUUCAGUACCACUGGGAUAGGUGUCAAGAUUACUACAAUAUGGGAGAAAAUUUUAGUUCAACUUUAGAUACAGUAAAGACAACUGAGGAUUUAUAGACAAGGAGCAAAUUGAAGGGUUCAGUGGAUGGAAAAUUACUAAUGGGAAACAUCAAGUGUGAGGAGGGUUCUUGCUACAUUGACUUAAUAAGAAUCUUGCUGAAGAAAGACCAGAGACAUCAGAUAUCAAAGAUAGGAAUUGAGGAUUUGAUCAGAAGAUCAGGUAUGAAUGGUUGAAUUAUUCUUACCUAACUACCUUUGCAGUUUUCUUUCUGAAACUGAGCUAAGCCAUCCCUGCAAGGAUGUGGGAAGGGCCAAGGACCAGUGGGGAAGAGAGCUCAAAGGAAUCUGACUAAAGCUUAGGCAAAGAGACAGGGGUCCCAGGUUCAAUCCCUUGUCAGGGAAUUAGAUCCCCCAUGCAUGCCACAACUAAGCGUUCACAUUCCACAACUGAGAAGUCCGCAUGCUGCAACUAAAGAUAGCGCAUACCACAAUGAAGGUCCGGCACAGCCUAAAUAAAUAAAUAAAUAUUUAAAAAUAAAAUAUAGCUUAGACAGAGUCUGUCAAUUCCUGUUGUUCAAAGAAGGAAGAGACCUUUUUUCCUCUGAAGAACACAGGUUUUUUUUUCUCAUUUGUUUGCUUUUGUUCCUUAAGGAAUAGCUGAGAGGAAAUCAAUAUGUACCUGGAAACUGGCAGAAGGACUCCGGUACAACCAAGGCUGUAAGAAACAUACACAUGUAAUUGGACAGGAAGGGAAGAAAAGUACUGGGGUCAAAAGAUGUGUGACUCAGAGGAGAAGGGAGAUCACAUGGGCAGACACCCACCCUGGCCAGUGAGCUGAUCAAGCCACAGACUGGGUGACCCAGUCCUAGGUUCUAUGUGGUAGAGGCAAGCCUCCUUACCGGUUGAAGGACCAGUGGGACACAGAGAAAGGUUGGAGGAGCCUGGACUCUGUUUGGAGGAAGUGUGCAUGCUCCCACCUGGCUCGGGGACCGGGCAGAGAGAGGUCCGCUUCAGCAGCUGCCGGUUUCCAGUGAGCAGGUGCACCACACACCGCAGCCAGAGCAGAAAAAACGCUCUGGCUCCACUAACUCCAUGCCCCAACAUGUCGCUGGAUCUGGGGCAGUCAAGACCAGGGAAAGACUCCAUUUAUGGAUGAAGAGGCAGCCCAGUCCCAGGGCAGAGCCCAGAUGGGGCUGCGGUGGCCAUUGUGGGAACUUGCUCUACCAGUACAUGAGAAGCAGUCCACAUCUCUGAUGGUAGCUGUUUGGCCACAGCUCACCCACUCCACCAUACAUGCAGAGAAACCACACUGGCCCUGCCUUCUCCCUGUGGAGCGGUGCCACAGCAGGGCGGGAGUGGCGGAGGCUGGAGACACUGAUCAGCUGGGAGAGAGUAAGGGGUCUUGUCCCAGAGGCAGGAUAAUAUAUCAAUAAUUGCCCAGCCUGAAGACCAAAGAAAGAGCCCAGAGACAAGGACAGAGACAUCAGUGGUUUAAUGGAUACGUAUCUUACUUAUCCAGAGCAAGGUCCAUGAGAGACACUCCACCAUGGUCCAGACACAUUAGGUAGGAAGUGGCAGCAGUCUUUUUUACUGUGGAGCAGAGGGAGUUUACCUGAUUUAAAGGGAAUUGAUGUGAGGUUGGCUCAUCAAUUCUUAGGGAAAGCCGCAGAGGAGUAUGCCACUCACAGUCCCUUUGAUAAACUAUCAAUGUGAAGAAGUUAUGAACUAAAGAUUAGAACAAUUUCUAGGACUUCCUUGGUUGUGCAGUGGUUAAGAAUCUGUCUGCCAAAGCAGCGGAUGUGGGUGCAAUCCUUGGUCCGGGAAGAUCCCACAUGCUGUGCAGCAACUAAGCCCGUGUGCCACAACUACUGAGCCUGUGCUCUGUGACCCCCAUCCCUCAACUACUGAAGCCCGCGCCUAGAGCCCAUGCGCCACAACAAGAGAAGACACCAGAAUGAGAAGCCCUGAGCACCACAAAGAAGAGCAACCCCCUGCUUGCCGCAAUUAGAGAAAAGCCCGUGGGCAGCAAUGAACACCCAACACAGCCAAGAAAGAGAGAAAGAAAGAAAGAAAGGAAGGAAGCAAAAGAAAGAGAAGAAAAAGAAAGACACACGAUCACUAGCUGUGGCUAGAGAAAGAAGGUGGGCAUUGACUGAUUAGGUCUUAUGAUUAAGAGAGAAGUUCAGCCAUGUGAGUAGGGUGCCAGUGAGUCAGACUUGGUGGAGCAGGGGAUGUAUAAACAACAAAAAUACAGCCAUUUUUGGUGCCUGAUAAUACCUCAGCUUUUCUCAGUUGGGCACAAUCACUGACGAUGCAGGCAGGAGAGCCUUUUCUGGGGGACCAAAAGUAGUGCUUUCCUUCUUGUUUAGCUGCCUCAGGCCUGCUGAAUAUCUCGUCUCCGUAUUCCCAGUUACGGUCCUGUAGCUUUUUUUUUUUUCUCUGACCAUAGCUUACAAAAUUACUUUUAUCACUCCAGUCUGCAUGCAUUUCAAGAGCAAUAGAAUAAUGUUUACUUGCUUCUAAUUACCAGUGGAUGUAAACUUGGGUUGGCUCCAAGGAGUCUGAGAUUAUGUCCAAACACUUCAGUAAUCAGUAGCACUAAAGACUCUUAAAUGGGGCUUCCCUGGUGGCGCAGUGGUUGAGAGUCUGCCUGCCAAUGCAGGGGACGUGGGUUCAAGCCCUGGUCUGGGAGGGUCCAACAUGCCGCGGAGCAACUGGGCCCGUGAGCCACAACUACUGAGCCUGCGCGUCUGGAGCCUGUGCUCUGCAACAAGAGAGGCCACGAUAAUGAGAGGCCCGCGCAUCGCGAUGAAGAGUGGUCCCCGCUUGCCGCAACUAGAGGAAGCCCUUGCACAGAAACGAAGACCCAACACAGCCAAAAAUAAAUAAUAAAUAAAUAAUAAAUAAAAAUUAAAAAGAAAAAAAGACUCUUAAAUGCUCUGAAGAAUCUCGCCAGGCUUCCCUGGUGGUGCAGUGGUUGAGAAUCUGCCUGCCAAUGCAGGGGACACGUGUUCAAGCCCUGGUCUGGGAAGAUCCCACAUGCGGCGGAGCAACUAGGCCUGUGAGCCACAAUUACUGAGCCUGCGCAUCUGGAGCCUGUGCUCCGCAACAAGAGAGGCCGCGAUAGUGAGAGGCCCGCAAACCGUGAUGAAGAGUGGCCCCCACUUGCCACAACUAGAGAAAGCCCUCGCACAGAAAUGAAGACCUAACACAGCCAUAAAUAAAUAAAUAAAUUUUAAAAAUUAAAAAAAAAAGAAUAACAGCAGAUACUAUUUAAAAAAAAAAAUCUCGCCAAUUCCCUCAUGGAUCCCCCACACCUUAAGAAGGAUGGAGCCUCCUCCCAGCCUGCCCCCCCGUUGAUUUCCCAGCGCUCCGCGCGAUGCUACUUGGCUUUUUUCCUGGUGCUUCCAGUGGGGAGCGCCACUCCUUGAGCCUUUACCCUUACAUUACCCAGAAGAAGUUGCGCUAAGGCGAUGUUCAUCCAAUGAAAAUCUAGAAAAUGGACAUUUCCGGGAGGGAGAACAUCAGGGAGGAGGACUUCCGGUGUCUUCGUGGCGGACGUUUUGAUUGUUGUUGAGACUGUGGACCUGAUCAAUAGCUCCGCUGUGCGGUGUUGAGAAAGAGGUGAGAGGCCUAGGAGGCGGAAGUGUAGGGUUUAUGCGCACUACACGGGCGGGUCUUACGGACGGGGACGACGCCGCCGCUUGCGGGGAGUAACCGUGCCGACUCCGACCCGGUCGCUGGACUGUCGCCGCUCCGCUCCGCGUAAAGGCUCCGAUGGCGGCGCCUGCGCUGACGGACCCACCUCAGGGGCAGCUCUGUCCUCACAUCUGGAACAUGGGCACUGCUUUCUUCUUAAAUUCCUUGGUUAUGUGCUGUGGUUACUAUGGCUAGGCAGAGUGCAUCCCUAGUCCUUAGUGCCCGAACACCCGUAGACCCAAAGUUACAGGUUCUUUUCCUGGAGUUGAGAAUGAAGAGAUGCCUUCUGAACAGAGCGUAUCUGCAGAAGGAGUGUCACAGAUGAGGACCCCCAGGGCAGGUUUGUCUCCUGAGAAGACCCAGCCCUGUAAGAUGUGCAUUGCAGUCUUGAGAGACAUUUUGCACUUGGCUGAAGAGCAAGGAACAAAUAGGGAGCAGAAAGCAUACACAUGUGGGGCAUGUGGGAAACAGUUCUAUUUCACUGCAAACCUUCAAGAGCACCAGAAGCAGCACAUUAGAGAGAAUCCCGUACGGUAUGGUAUGCGGAGACCCUCAUUUUGGUAAAGCUACUCCUUCCACACAAUAGGGAAUCUACCUACCUACAUGGAGAUUGGGUACAACUACGUGGCCAACAUGGAACUGUUCUGGGCAGUGUGAGGGACUCGGAAGGACUAAGAAUGUCCAGUGUGACCCUACGUGGCCUGGUCUCCAAGCAUCCUCUUCCUAAGCCCUUGAUCCAUUGCCUCACUGUUCCUUCCAUCCCUCCAGAAAAAUGUUAACUCACCAACAUGAUGAUUUUUAAUUAGCAAGAACUUGCCCUCCCCCCCCUUGGGACCCACACUUGAUCAACGUACCUUAAAAGCUAAGACUGAAUGCAGGCUGACCCCUCCCACGAAGACUUAAAAACCUGUGUAUAAAACAAUUAUAACUUUAAGGGCUUCCCUGGUGGCGCAUUGGUUAAGAAUCCCCCUGCCAAUGCAGGGGACACGGGUUAGAGCCCUGGGGUGGGAAUUUCCCACAUGCCACGGAGCAACUAAGCCCGUGUGCUACAACUACUGAAGCCUGCGUGCCUAGAACCCAUGCUCUGCAACAAAGAGAAGCCACUGCAAUGAGAAUCCCAUGCACUACAACGAAGAGUAGCCCCCACUCGCCGCAACUAGAGAAAGCCCGUGCGCAGUAACGAAGACCCAAUGUAGCUAUAA